rnacentral:rRNA from 1 species
UACGGAGGGUGCAAGCGUUAUCCGGAUUUACUGGGUUUAAAGGGUGCGCAGGCGGAUAUGUAAGUCAGUGGUGAAAUCUCUGGGCUUAACCCGGAAAUUGCCAUUGAUACUAUAUAUCUUGAAUGCUGUGGAGGUAAGUGGAAUAUGUCAUGUAGCGGUGAAAUGCUUAGAGAUGACAUAGAACACCUAUUGCGAAGGCAGCUUACUACGCAGAGAUUGACGCUCAUGCACGAAAGCGUGGGGAUCAAACAGG